CGUUCUGCUGUUGAUGGAGGAGCCCGGCUCCCGUAGGAGUCCGGGCGGAGCCGUUCUGCUGUUGAUGGAGGAGCUCGGCUCCCGUGGGAGUCCGGGCGGAGCCGUUCUGCUGUUGAAUUCGGCUGCGGGUAUUUUUAUACCCAACACCAGUCCCCCUACUUCCGAGUUUGAAUUUCAAGCGAAGGAAGUACACAGAGAGAGAUGCGCGCAGCCGGAAUCGCCCCUUCGAACUUUGCGCCCUGCCGCCCCCAUUUAAUGCGCGUACGUCAGAAUCCGUUUUUCGGUGAAGGUAACUUGAAGAGUCUUUUCGGAGCUCCCAUCGGAACGCGAUCCUAAGCGUCGCUCUGCGGGAAUUCGCGAGCGGUCAACCCUCAAUGGCGGUGAAGGGGAUAAGCGCGCCACGCGGCACACAUCAGUUGGCCCAGGAAUACCCGCCGCCAUAAUUGCGCCAGGAUCCAUCGGCUAUUUAAACC
rnacentral:lncRNA from 1 species